rnacentral:rRNA from 1 species
GAUGAACGCUGGCGGCGUGCCUAAUACAUGCAAGUCGAGCGAACAGACGAGGAGCUUGCUCCUCUGACGUUAGCGGCGGACGGGUGAGUAACACGUGGAUAACCUACCUAUAAGACUGGGAUAACUUCGGGAAACCGGAGCUAAUACCGGAUAAUAUAUUGAACCGCAUGGUUCAAUAGUGAAAGACGGUUUUGCUGUCACUUAUAGAUUGAUCCGCGCCGCAUUAGCUAGUUGGUAAGGUAACGGCUUACCAAGGCAACGAUGCGUAGCCGACCUGAGAGGGUGAUAGGCCAUACUGGAACUGAAACACGGUCCAGACUCCUACGGGAGGCAGCAGUAGGGAAUAUUCCGCAAUGGGCGAAAGCCUGACGGAGCAACGCCGAGUGAGUGAUGAAGGUCUUCGGAUCGUAAAACUCUGUUAUUAGGGAAGAACAAAUGUGUAAGUAACUAUGCACGUCUUGACGGUACCUAAUCAGAAAGCCACGGCUAGCUACGUG